GCCCGCCUAGCUCAAUUGGUCAGAGCGUCAGACUUUUAUGACUGAGGUAUAUCUCUUGUCACGUGACAUCUGAAGGCUGUGAGUUCGAGCCUCGCGGUGGGCU
rnacentral:tRNA from 1 species